AGUGAACGCUGGCGGUAGGCCUAACACAUGCAUGUCGAACGGCAGCACAGGAGAGCUUGCUCUCUGGGUGGCGAGUGGCGGACGGGUGAGGAAUACAUCGGAAUCUACUCUGUCGUGGGGGAUAACGUAGGGAAACUUACGCUAAUACCGCAUACGACCUACGGGUGAAAGCAGGGGAUCUUCGGACCUUGCGCGAUUGAAUGAGCCGAUGUCGGAUUAGCUAGUUGGCGGGGUAAAGGCCCACCAAGGCGACGAUCCGUAGCUGGUCUGAGAGGAUGAUCAGCCACACUGGAACUGAGACACGGUCCAGACUCCUACGGGAGGCAGCAGUGGGGAAUAUUGGACAAUGGGCGCAAGCCUGAUCCAGCCAUACCGCGUGGGUGAAGAAGGCCUUCGGGUUGUAAAGCCCUUUUGUUGGGAAAGAAAUCCAGCUGGUUAAUACCCGGUUGGGAUGACGGUACCCAAAGAAUAAGCACCGGCUAACUUCGUGCCAGCAGCCGCGGUAAUACGAAGGGUGCAAGCGUUACUCGGAAUUACUGGGCGUAAAGCGUGCGUAGGUGGUUAUUUAAGUCCGUUGUGAAAGCCCUGGGCUCAACCUGGGAACUGCAGUGGAUACUGGAUGACUAGAAUGUGGUAGAGGGUAGCGGAAUUCCUGGUGUAGCAGUGAAAUGCGUAGAGAUCAGGAGGAACAUCCAUGGCGAAGGCAGCUACCUGGACCAACAUUGACACUGAGGCACGAAAGCGUGGGGAGCAAACAGG
rnacentral:rRNA from 1 species